GACGGGGCCCGCACAAGCGGCGGAGCAUGCGGAUUAAUUCGAUGCAACGCGAAGAACCUUACCAAGGCUUGACAUACACCGGUAACGCCCAGAGAUGGGUGCCCCUUUGUGGUCGGUGUACAGGUGGUGCAUGGUUGUCGUCAGCUCGUGUCGUGAGAUGUUGGGUUAAGUCCCGCAACGAGCGCAACCCUCGUCCUAUGUUGCCAGCGGGUCAUGCCGGGGACUCAUGGGAGACUGCCGGGGUCAACUCGGAGGAAGUGGGGAUGACGUCAAAUCAUCAUGCCCCUUAUGUCUUGGGCUUCACGCAUGCUACAAUGGCCGGUACAAAGGGCUGCGAUACCGCGAGGUGGAGCGAAUCCCAGAAAGCCGGUCUCAGUUCGGAUUGGGGUCUGCAACUCGACCCCAUGAAGUCGGAGUCGCUAGUAAUCGCAGAUCAGCAACGCUGCGGUGAAUACGUUCCCGGGCCUU
rnacentral:rRNA from 1 species